GCAGUGGCGGACGGGUGAGUAAUAUAUCGGAACGUGCCCAAUAGCGGGGGAUAACUACUCGAAAGAGUGGCUAAUAACGCAUACUAUUGGAUCGGCAGAUAUGGAAUUAGCUAGUUGUUUGGGUAAAGGCUGACCAAGGCAACGAUCCUUAGCUGGUUUGAGAGGACGCCUAUCCAUAUUUGGAGUGAGACACGGCCCAGACUCCUACGGGAGGCAUCAUUGGGGAAGUUUGGAAAAUGGGCGACACCCUGAUCCAGCCAUCCCGCGUGUCUGAUGAAGGCCUUCGGGUUGUAAAGUACUGUUGGCAGAGAAGCGGUAUUUGCAGAAGAAGCACCGGCUAACUACGGGCCAGCAGCCGCGGUAAUUC
rnacentral:rRNA from 1 species